AUUGAACGCUGGCGGCAGGCUUAACACAUGCAAGUCGAGCGAGCGGCGGACGGGUGAGUAAUGUCUGUGAAACUGCCUGAUGGAGGGGGAUCACUACUGGAAACGGUAGCUACUACCGCAUACCAUCAGCUGUGCCCAGGUGGGAUUAGCUAGUAGGUGGGGUAAUGGCUCACCUAGGCGACGAUCCCUAACUGGUCUAUGAGGAUGACCAGCCACACUGGAACUGAGACACGGUCCAGACUCCUACGGGAGGCAGCAGUGGGGAAUAUUGCACAAUGGGCGCAAGCCUGAUGCAGCCAUGCCGCGUGUGUGAAGAAGGCCUUCGGGUUGUAAAGCACUUUAAGUUAGGAGGCGUUACUCGCAGAAUAAGCACCGGCUAACUCCGUGCCAGCAGCCGCGGUAAUAC
rnacentral:rRNA from 1 species